AGUGAACGCUGGCGGUAGGCCUAACACAUGCAAGUCGAACGGCAGCACAGUAAGAGCUUGUUUUUACGGGUGGCGAGUGGCGGACGGGCGUGGAAUAUAUCGGAACUUCCUCUUUCGUGGGGGUUGACGCAGGGAAACUUACGCUACUACCCCAUACGACCUACGGUUGCAUGCAGGGGUUCUUCGGAACUUGCACGAUUGAAUGAGCCGAUGUCGGAUUAGCUAGUUGGCGGGGUAAAGGCCCACCAAGGCGACGAUCCGUAGCUGGUCUGAGAGGAUGAUCAGCCACACUGGAACUGAGACACGGUCCAGACUACUACGGGAGGCAGCGGUGCGGAAUAGUGGACAAUGGGCGCAAGCCUGAUCCAGCCAUGCCGCGUGGGUGAAAAAGGGCUUCGGGUUGUAAAGCCCUUUUGUUUGGGAAGAAAAGCAGCAGGUUAAUACCCCACUGUUCUGACGGUACCCAAAGAAUAAGCACCGGCUAACUUCGUG
rnacentral:rRNA from 1 species